rnacentral:rRNA from 1 species
GACGAACGCUGGCGGCGUGCCUAAUACAUGCAAGUUGAGCGAUGAAGAUUGGUGCUUGCACCAAUUUGAAGAGCAGCGAACGGGUGAGUAACGCGUGGGGAAUCUGCCUUUGAGCGGGGGACAACAUUUGGAAACGAAUGCUAAUACCGCAUAACAACUUUAAACAUAAGUUUUAAGUUUGAAAGAUGCAAUUGCAUCACUCAAAGAUGAUCCCGCGUUGUACUAGCUAGUUGGUGAGGUAAAGGCUCACCAAGGCGAUGAUACAUAGCCGACCUGAGAGGGUGAUCGGCCACAUUGGGACUGAGACACGGCCCAAACUCCUACGGGAGGCAGCAGUAGGGAAUCUUCGGCAAUGGACGAAAGUCUGACCGAGCAACGCCGCGUGAGUGAAGAAGGUUUUCGGAUCGUAAAACUCUGUUGGUAGAGAAGAACGUUGGUGAGAGUGGAAAGCUCAUCAAGUGACGGUAACUACCCAGAAAGGGACGGCUAACUACGUG